rnacentral:ncRNA from 2 species
CUCUUAUCGAGAGAGGCAGAGGGACUAGGCCCUACGACGCCCAGCAACCAUCAAGUGUAAGUAUCACUUGAAAAGGUGCUAAUUCCUACAGGUCAACGUUGAUCUGACAGAUAAGAG